AAACCGUUCAGGGGUAAACCUGAGAAACCCAAAAGAUCGAAUGGGGAGAUUCAUCGUCAGCUCAUUUUGUAUAUAUAUGAGGUAUGAUAUGGGUUACUACUUGUAGUAUUGCUUAUACAUUCGUGUAUAUUUUAUUGCAAGAUGUUGUCGGCGUGCACUUCUCCCCUAGUAGGACGUCGCGACCCGUUGAGUGUCGGUUUACGGCUCAAGAGGUAGCCUUUAAUUUUUUUAUAAAAUAAAAGACCCUUGGUGUUUCCUGACUGGCUACUCGGCGGUAUUCGUACGGUAUUAAGCCGCAUUUUUGCGUUCAUAUCCGUCGCAAGCGCGGUCAAUUUUUGGCAGUACGGACCUAGUGCCGUCGCUAUUAUUGAUCAGCUGUUGGUUGUACGGUGUUCUAGAACUGGCUUAUAAUUAAUAUACCGGUCAGCGAUGCUUCAGCUUUGGGUACUUUCAGGA
rnacentral:rRNA from 1 species